rnacentral:lncRNA from 1 species
UAAAAUGGAAGCACCUGACCAUACAAUGCCCAGCACUGAAGAAAAUAGAACAUAAAACCACACUACUUGAAAAAGGAAGUGAUGAAAAGGAUAGUGGUCUGGGAAAAAAAUGCUUUGAGAUGGCCAAAUGCAGAGCGGACCUUCCCUGAUUUUGAUCCGUGCAACUGAAUGAAAAUCACGGUACCAGUGAGAAUUGCAAGUUUGCUGAACCAGAAGUGAACACAACUGAAAUGCAGAGAAGGUGCCACAAAUUUGGAGGCAGCCCCCAGCUACACAGAUGUGGUCAUUGCAGACAAGCCUGCAGUCAAGAAUUUAAACUUUGAUAUCCAGGCAAGUUUGGCAGUCUUAUGUUUAUGACUGUUCCUUGUGAAAUGGGUGAAAUAAUGCAUGGAUAUGGAAACAUCAGGUAAGUGGCUACCAUGCAUCUAAAG